rnacentral:rRNA from 1 species
UAAUACGAAGGGGGCUAGCGUUGUUCGGAAUGACUGGGCGUAAAGGGCGCGUAGGCGGCGAUUUUAGUCAGGCGUGAAAGCCCUGGGCUUAACCUAGGAACUGCGUUUGAUACUGGAUCGCUUGAGUGUGGGAGAGGAUGGUGGAAUUCCCAGUGUAGAGGUGAAAUUCGUAGAUAUUGGGAAGAACACCGGUGGCGAAGGCGGCCAUCUGGACCAUUACUGACGCUGAGGCGCGAAAGCGUGGGGAGCAAACAGGAUUAGAUACCCUGGUAGUCCACGCUGUAAACGAUGUGUGCUAGACGUUGGGGGGUUGCCCUCCGGUGUCGCAGCUAACGCUUUAAGCACACCGCCUGGGGAGUACGGUCGCAAGAUUA